rnacentral:rRNA from 1 species
CUACGGGAUGCUCCAGUGAGGAAUAUUGCACAAUGGGGGGAACCCUGAUGCAGCAACGCCGCGUGGAGGAUGACGCAUUUCGGUGUGUAAACUCCUUUUAUAUGUCAAGAAAAUGACGGUAGCAUAUGAAUAAGCACCGGCUAACUCCGUGCCAGCAGCCGCGGUAAUACGGAGGGUGCAAGCGUUACUCGGAAUCACUGGGCGUAAAGGACGCGUAGGCGGGUUGGAAAGUCAGGUGUGAAAUCCUACAGCUUAACUGUAGAACUGCACUUGAAACUUCUAAUCUAGAGUAUGGGAGGGGGAGAUGGAAUGAGUGGUGUAGGGGUAGAAUCCGUAGAUAUCACUAGGAAUACCUAAAGCGAAGGCGAUCUCCUGGAACAUUACUGACGCUAAGGCGUGAAAGCGUGGGGAGCAAACAGGAUUAGAUACCCCCGUAGUC